GAGGUGCAAUGCCUGCGGUGGGAAAAGUUGGGCUUCGGUCUCCCCUCCCUUCCCCCUCCCCCAAAGGUGGUCGCUCGCCUUCCGUGUGGCAAUGGUGGGUUAUGGUGACUUAGGCUCCCUGAGGCCGAGAAGUCACCGAGAGGACGUGGGGCAGCGCUGGGGGGUGGACGGGGACGGGGGAAGGUCGUGCGAGGAGCCCGAGGAAAAGGAGACCGGCCGAGCUUGCUGCCACCUGGAAGAGUCCCGCCAAGCGCUCGGAUUGUCGCGGCCCUCGGGGUCACUAUCAGGUACUGUUAUCAGUAAUAUGUUGGCUCAAAGAUCCAGUGUCUUCAUGUUCUCUCUCAUAUGUGGAUCCUAGCUACAGAUGAUUGGGCUUCUGAGUGAGAAGGAUACUUAGUAGCAGAGGCCAGUCCCACAUAAGCCAGACGCACAAAGUGAGAACGGAGCGCAGUCUGGACUUCGAUUACAAUGGCUGAAGAUCCUGCACCUCUAACCCACCGGACAAUUCACGGCCAGUGGAGGGGCUGAGAACUACAAUCCCCAUGAUGCUAUGCGCCUCUCCGCUAUCACGUGGAUCCUGUGAGGGAAUCAACAAGGGACGGCUGCUCCCACAAUCCUUUGCGGCAGUUCAAUAUGGUGGCGACCAGCGGUACUGCAGCGAUUCGGGCAGCAGCUGGGACAACAGCCUCGAGGAUGAUGCGGAGGAUCUGGCACGGUGGAGUGGAAGGGUGUUCCCUUCGACCCUGCAUCGCCUGUGGUAGAGACCUAAGCUAGAAAAGAACAUAAGUGACUCCAUAUUGUGAAGUUGUACAAGGAAUUUCAGCAUAGUUGGUGCCUCAGGACGCGGUCUCACCUACACUUGCUUGGCUUGCCUCAACACUGGGUCACCACAAGAAAAGAUGGUUUUUCUCGCUGUUGCUAAAUGCACUUUUGUUUUAGUUUCUGUAUUAACUUAUGCUUGCAGUUGCAGGGAGGGAGUGAUUCCGGGAAAGCUCUUCUUUUUAGAACUCAAAAUUAAUUCUUGCUUUCAGAUUGUGAUUACUGAACUUCUGAACUGUAAAACUAAGAUGUGAAAUCUUGUGAUUUUUCUCAUAUAAAAUGAGUUCUGAAGUACACCCUAGCACUGCCUUCAGGCUUCUGAGUCCUGGAUGUAGUCACCCACAGGCCAAUAAAGAUUCCUUUCCUAG